GGGGUUUCACUGUGUUGGCCAGGCUGGUCUCUAACUCCUGACCUCGUGAUCCGCCUGCCUUGGCCUCCCAAAGUGCUGGGAUUACCGGCAUGAGCCACCGUGCCUGGCCCGGUAGAAAUAAUUUUUAAAAACUUAUCUGGAAAAAUGUAUAUAGAAACAAGUAAUGGUUUAAAACCCAGACUAAAAGGAUACAAGCUCUUUUGAAAAACUUUGAGUAGAGAAGUUGCUUUCUCAGACUAAGCUUUGAAGUGUAUUUCUUAUCUGUCAGGAAGGUUGGAAGAUGGCGAGCCUAGAAGUGGAGAAACCAGAAACUUUUCAAACAAGGAAGGGCCCCAGAUGCUAGGCCAUGUUCCUUCAGCCUCUGAAGUCAGCAGUGAAUACAUGUGACACAGGAUUUCCUCCAUAAUGCUAUGUGCCACGAAUGCAUGAAGGAAUGAAUGAAAAGAAAGCAAAUGUGUGGGAAUAAUCUACAAGAGUUGGUAAGUCAUUGGAGGUGGAGAUGUAUAUCUAAUGGGUGGGAAUGCACAAAUUUGUAAAUAUGUGUCAAGUGUACCAUUGGGUACAUGCGGACAAGGAAUGUGGAGGGAACAGGAGCUGAUACGUGAGAAGGAGCACAUUUCAGAAUCAAAACUAUUCUGCUUUCUAGUACUGGCUUUGCCACUUAUCAAUCUUGUGACUUAAGGAAGUUUUCUACUCUGAGUCUCAGCUUCAUCUCUAAAAUGAGGAUAAUGAUAACUGUUUGUGAAAAAUAUUAAGUUGGAUAAAAUAAAACAAUGUAAAUGACUCAAUUUUUUUUUUCUGAGACAAAGUCUUCCUAUGUCUCCCAGGCUGGAGUGCAGUGGUGUGAUCUCGGCUCAGUGCAAGCUCCGCUUCCUGGGUUCACGUCAUUCUUCUGCCUCAGCCUCCCAAGUAGCUGGGACUACAGGCUCCCGCCACCACGCCCGGCUAAUUUUUUGUAUUUUUAGUAGAGAUGGGGUUUCACCGUGUUAGCCAGGAUGGCCUCAAUCUCCUGACCUCGUGAUCCACCCACCUCGGCCUCCCAAAGUGCUGGGAUUAGAGGCAUUAGCCACCGUGCCUGGCCAUGACUUACACUUUAUUGUCCCCUAAUACAUAGCCCUGAAUAGAUGGCGGUGACUUUUUAUAAUAAGGUCCUUUUGGUGAUAUUUUCAAGAGGAGUGUCUCAGGCCAUGUGGUUGCAAGUGCAGAUUUAAAAUAAGGAGAAAUCUAGGCUAGAAACAAGUUUGCCAGCAUUCAUCCUUUCAGCUGUACUACGUCACCUACUCUGCACUAGGGCCAGAGAGGAAACAAUGGCUGGUGAAAGAGCAACUGAUAUUUCUGAAGGCGGGAAGACAUAAAUAAUUAGAACAAAAGAGAGGGUGAGCAAGGAAUAGUGUUGACAGCGCAGCCCUCAAGUCUUGGGUCCUUCUAAGUGCAGGAUGGAAAAGGAAGCAUUGAUGAUACAUAAAUUCUUACAAGCCAAUGUUUCUCUUCUAGGAGAAAUGGAAACUCAGAAAUCAGUGCUCUCAAAGAAGGGAAAUUAGGUAUGAUUUCUUGGGAGCCACAACCCAACAAGGCUUUCCAAAUAAUACAGUCCUGAAUUUGAGCCUCAGAGAAGGCAGGUAUAUUUUCAAGUCAUGCACUGUAUCAAUUGCCUUUUUUUGCAGAGGAAUAUUACUUUAUUCAUUUAUUCAGAGAAGUACUUUGCUGGGCACUGUUCUAGAAGCUGGGAAAUACAAGUGAUCAAAAUAUAACCUACCCCACAACUCCCAAAUCCAGCUCGAAAAAACUUUUAGUGUGGAGGAUGGGAUAGUAAAGAUAAUAAGCCAAUGAAUAAGGAAAACAUAGCAUUUCAGAUCUUUAUAUUAUGAUAAAAAAAAAAAAGUCCUAAAUUGGAACAGGAAACACAGAUGGGGUGGCUCAAUUACAAGACAGCAGUUAAAGAAGGCCUCACUGACAAGAUGAGUUCCCAGUGUCAGGACCCCAAUAUCCUUCCUUACAAAGAGUGGGGAUCCCACCCUAGAAAAGGAAUAGCAGUUCAGCCACCCCACAGCAGCUCUGGCAUGGCUGUUUCUGGAUACCUUCAUG
rnacentral:lncRNA from 10 species